CCCUUAGAUGUUCUGGGCUGCACGCGCGCUACACUGACGCACGCAACAGGUGCCUGCUCCGAGAGGACUGGGUAAUCAUUUGAGUGUGCGUCGUGAUGGGGAUAGAAUAUUGUAACUAUUACUCUUCAACGAGGAAUUCCUAGUAAGCGCAAGUCAGCAGCUUGCGCUGAUUACGUCCCUGCCCUUUGUACACACCGCCCGUCGCUCCUACCGAUGGGUGAUCCGGUGAAUGAUUCGGACUUCAGCGGCUCCUCUGGGGUGCGCCGGAGAAAGUUUUGUGAACCUUAUCACUUGGAGGAAGGAGAAGUCGUAACA
rnacentral:rRNA from 1 species